rnacentral:tRNA from 1 species
UAUAGCUUAGUGGUAGAGCGCAUGCCUAGCAUGCAUGAGGUCCUGGGUUCAAUCCCCAGUA